rnacentral:misc_RNA from 1 species
GAUGAAGAACGUAGCGAAAUGCGAUACGUAAUGUGAAUUGCAGAAUUCAGUGAAUCAUCGAAUCUUUGAACGCAUAUUGCGCUCUUUGGUAUUCCGAAGAGCAUGCUUGUUUGAGUAUCAGUAAACACCUCAACCUCUUCUUGAUUUUUCAAAAGGAGGGUGGACUUGAGCUAUCCCAACAACCUUUACCGGUCGGCGGGCGGCUUGAAAUGCAGGUGCAGCUGGACUUUUAUCAGAGCUAAAAGCAUAUCUAUUUAGUCCUCGUCAAACAGGAUUAUUACUUUUGCUGCAGCUAACAUAAAGGAUAAUUGUCCUCUUUGCUGACUGAUGCAGGAUUUUACGACACUUUAUGUGUUGUUCAACUCGAUCUCAAAUCAAGUAAGACUACCCGCUGAACUUAAGCAUAUCAAUAAGCGGAGGA